CAAAUUCAACCUUUGGAUUAAUGAUGUUGUAAAUAACGUGUUUAUUAUCUUGUGCCACUUAUCAUUAAUGAUUUGUGAAUAUUCCUCUAGGGAGGAAUUCUUUAACCCUUUCAUUUUUUUUAAAUCUUUAAUCUGUUCACUGCUUUCUUGAGUUUAAACCACAAAUAUAUUGUUGGGUUUAAAGACUCACUGCCACAUCUGAGGACGCGUAUUCUCAGAAUUAAUAUACUUAUUCAGCCCCAAAUAUAACACUAUUUAGCCUGUGUAAAGAUAUUUAUGCUAUCUUAACAGACCACUUGGCCUUAUCAGCAAGAUACAUAAAGGUCAAUAUAAUAGCAUUUAUAAAGGAACAAUGAUUAUUAGAUUAAAAAAAACAGGAUGUAAAAGAACAAAAUGUCCAACUGACAUAUUUACUACCUGCCAACAUGCAUUAAACUAUCCUCGACUCACAUCAACACCGCUUUCAACUUGCAUCAACCUUUGGUGAUUCAAGCUAAAAAAAACCACAACUUGGAAUUUACUAUCCUUCAAGUUGCAUGUUUGUUGAAACAAAGUUCCAUCUUACAAA